CCUUCAACAGUACUAGGGGAACCUGUGAGGUAAUCGACACUCCACGAUAAUGACUUUCCUUCCUUUGAAAACUUCAGCCUGUAUACCUCCGCCUUAGCUUACCUUUAAGAGAUUCAUAGUGAGCAAGAAGUAAGACACUACCACAUGGCAGGUCAAGGUGCAGCUUAUGGGAAGGAGCAUCAUGGGUGACAUUUCAAUAAAAGACCAAUGGACCACUCAUGGAAACAUGAGUACGAAAAUGGACUUAGAAGUAAGGGAUCCAUUAGAAUAGACCCCUGAAACACUCCCUAGAAGGUGCACAAAUC
rnacentral:rRNA from 1 species